GAGAGUUUGAUCCUGGCUCAGGAUGAACGCUGGCGGCGUGCUUAACACAUGCAAGUCGAACGGGAUCCAUCAGGCUUUGCUUGGUGGUGAGAGUGGCGAACGGGUGAGUAAUGCGUGACCGACCUGCCCCAUACACCGGAAUAGCUCCUGGAAACGGGUGGUAAUGCCGGAUGCUCCGACUCCUCGCAUGGGGUGUCGGGAAAGAUUUCAUCGGUAUGGGAUGGGGUCGCGUCCUAUCAGGUAGUCGGCGGGGUAACGGCCCACCGAGCCUACGACGGGUAGCCGGCCUGAGAGGGCGACCGGCCACAUUGGGACUGAGAUACGGCCCAGACUCCUACGGGAGGCAGCAGUGGGGAAUAUUGCACAAUGGGCGCAAGCCUGAUGCAGCGACGCCGCGUGCGGGAUGACGGCCUUCGGGUUGUAAACCGCUUUUGAUCGGGAGCAAGCCUUCGGGUGAGUGUACCUUUCGAAUAAGCACCGGCUAACUACGUGCCAGCAGCCGCGGUAAUACGUAGGGUGCAAGCGUUAUCCGGAAUUAUUGGGCGUAAAGGGCUCGUAGGCGGUUCGUCGCGUCCGGUGUGAAAGUCCAUCGCUUAACGGUGGAUCUGCGCCGGGUACGGGCGGGCUGGAGUGCGGUAGGGGAGACUGGAAUUCCCGGUGUAACGGUGGAAUGUGUAGAUAUCGGGAAGAACACCAAUGGCGAAGGCAGGUCUCUGGGCCGUUACUGACGCUGAGGAGCGAAAGCGUGGGGAGCGAACAGGAUUAGAUACCCUGGUAGUCCACGCCGUAAACGGUGGAUGCUGGAUGUGGGGCCCGUUCCACGGGUUCCGUGUCGGAGCUAACGCGUUAAGCAUCCCGCCUGGGGAGUACGGCCGCAAGGCUAAAACUCAAAGAAAUUGACGGGGGCCCGCACAAGCGGCGGAGCAUGCGGAUUAAUUCGAUGCAACGCGAAGAACCUUACCUGGGCUUGACAUGUUCCCGACAGCCGUAGAGAUAUGGCCUCCCUUCGGGGCGGGUUCACAGGUGGUGCAUGGUCGUCGUCAGCUCGUGUCGUGAGAUGUUGGGUUAAGUCCCGCAACGAGCGCAACCCUCGCCCUGUGUUGCCAGCACGUCAUGGUGGGAACUCACGGGGGACCGCCGGGGUCAACUCGGAGGAAGGUGGGGAUGACGUCAGAUCAUCAUGCCCCUUACGUCCAGGGCUUCACGCAUGCUACAAUGGCCGGUACAACGGGAUGCGACACGGCGACGUGGAGCGGAUCCCUGAAAACCGGUCUCAGUUCGGAUUGGAGUCUGCAACCCGACUCCAUGAAGGCGGAGUCGCUAGUAAUCGCGGAUCAGCAACGCCGCGGUGAAUGCGUUCCCGGGCCUUGUACACACCGCCCGUCAAGUCAUGAAAGUGGGUAGCACCCGAAGCCGGUGGCCUAACCCUUUGUGGAUGGAGCCGUCUAAGGUGAGACUCGUGAUUGGGACUAAGUCGUAACAAGGUAGCCG
rnacentral:rRNA from 1 species